rnacentral:lncRNA from 1 species
CUCUUCCCAGGUCUCAACCCCCCCUUCUCUUUUUUCCCUUCAAAACCCGUCUCCUUUUUCUCUUUUUCCAUUCUCAGCUGGCGUACAUGGAAGCCACCAUCGGCGGCGCCGCCUUCUUCUUGACCAGCAGGUCGGCCUUUCCUCCGGCCGCCGCCGCCACCGAGGAGAUGCGGACGCUCUGCGUGGCCGGGAGGCGGCAAGGGGGGAGGGUCAGCUGGGCUCGGAGGGGAGCGGUGAUGGUGGCGGCGGCGCUGGAGAAGGGCAACGGAAACGGGGGGAAGAAGGCUGGCGGUGCGGUGCCCAACUCCAACUACGUCGUGCCUCUCGAUAAGGCGUCCUGCCUCACCCGCCCGCUUGCCGAGAUCCUCCGGGACCUCAACAAGCGAGUCCCCGA